GGGACACGUGGUAUCCUGUCUGAAUAUGGGGGGACCAUCCUCCAAGGCUAAAUACUCCUGACUGACCGAUAGUGAACCAGUACCGUGAGGGAAAGGCGAAAAGAACCCCGGCGAGGGGAGUGAAAAAGAACCUGAAACCGUGUACGUACAAGCAGUGGGAGCACGCUUAGGCGUGUGACUGCGUACCUUUUGUAUAAUGGGUCAGCGACUUAUAUUCUGUAGCAAGGUUAACCGAAUAGGGGAGCCGAAGGGAAACCGAGUCUUAACUGGGCGUUAAGUUGCAGGGUAUAGACCCGAAACCCGGUGAUCUAGCCAUGGGCAGGUUGAAGGUUGGGUAACACUAACUGGAGGACCGAACCGACUAAUGUUGAAAAAUUAGCGGAUGACUUGUGGCUGGGGGUGAAAGGCCAAUCAAACCGGGAGAUAGCUGGUUCUCCCCGAAAGCUAUUUAGGUAGCGCCUCGUGAAUUCAUCUCCGGGGGUAGAGCACUGUUUCGGCAAGGGGGUCAUCCCGACUUACCAACCCGAUGCAAACUGCGAAUACCGGAGAAUGUUAUCACGGGAGACACACGGCGGGUGCUAACGUCCGUCGUGAAGAGGGAAACAACCCAGACCGCCAGCUAAGGUCCCAAAGUCAUGGUUAAGUGGGAAACGAUGUGGGAAGGCCCAGACAGCCAGGAUGUUGGCUUAGAAGCAGCCAUCAUUUAAAGAAAGCGUAAUAGCUCACUGGUCGAGUCGGCCUGCGCGGAAGAUGUAACGGGGCUAAACCAUGCACCGAAGCUGCGGCAGCGACGCUGAUGCGUUGUUGGGUAGGGGAGCGUUCUGUAAGCCUGCGAAGGUGUGCUGUGAGGCAUGCUGGAGGUAUCAGAAGUGCGAAUGCUGACAUAAGUAACGAUAAAGCGGGUGAAAAGCCCGCUCGCCGGAAGACCAAGGGUUCCUGUCCAACGUUAAUCGGGGCAGGGUGAGUCGACCCCUAAGGCGAGGCCGAAAGGCGUAGUCGAUGGGAAACAGGUUAAUAUUCCUGUACUUGGUGUUACUGCGAAGGGGGGACGGAGAAGGCUAUGUUGGCCGGGCGACGGUUGUCCCGGUUUAAGCGUGUAGGCUGGUUUUCCAGGCAAAUCCGGAAAAUCAAGGCUGAGGCGUGAUGACGAGGCACUACGGUGCUGAAGCAACAAAUGCCCUGCUUCCAGGAAAAGCCUCUAAGCAUCAGGUAACAUCAAAUCGUACCCCAAACCGACACAGGUGGUCAGGUAGAGAAUACCAAGGCGCUUGAGAGAACUCGGGUGAAGGAACUAGGCAAAAUGGUGCCGUAACUUCGGGAGAAGGCACGCUGAUAUGUAGGUGAAGUCCCUCGCGGAUGGAGCUGAAAUCAGUCGAAGAUACCAGCUGGCUGCAACUGUUUAUUAAAAACACAGCACUGUGCAAACACGAAAGUGGACGUAUACGGUGUGACGCCUGCCCGGUGCCGGAAGGUUAAUUGAUGGGGUUAGCCGCAAGGCGAAGCUCUUGAUCGAAGCCCCGGUAAACGGCGGCCGUAACUAUAACGGUCCUAAGGUAGCGAAAUUCCUUGUCGGGUAAGUUCCGACCUGCACGAAUGGCGUAAUGAUGGCCAGGCUGUCUCCACCCGAGACUCAGUGAAAUUGAACUCGCUGUGAAGAUGCAGUGUACCCGCGGCAAGACGGAAAGACCCCGUGAACCUUUACUAUAGCUUGACACUGAACAUUGAGCCUUGAUGUGUAGGAUAGGUGGGAGGCUUAGAAGUGUGGACGCCAGUCUGCAUGGAGCCGACCUUGAAAUACCACCCUUUAAUGUUUGAUGUUCUAACGUUGACCCGUAAUCCGGGUUGCGGACAGUGUCUGGUGGGUAGUUUGACUGGGGCGGUCUCCUCCUAAAGAGUAACGGAGGAGCACGAAGGUUGGCUAAUCCUGGUCGGACAUCAGGAGGUUAGUGCAAUGGCAUAAGCCAGCUUGACUGCGAGCGUGACGGCGCGAGCAGGUGCGAAAGCAGGUCAUAGUGAUCCGGUGGUUCUGAAUGGAAGGGCCAUCGCUCAACGGAUAAAAGGUACUCCGGGGAUAACAGGCUGAUACCGCCCAAGAGUUCAUAUCGACGGCGGUGUUUGGCACCUCGAUGUCGGCUCAUCACAUCCUGGGGCUGAAGUAGGUCCCAAGGGUAUGGCUGUUCGCCAUUUAAAGUGGUACGCGAGCUGGGUUUAGAACGUCGUGAGACAGUUCGGUCCCUAUCUGCCGUGGGCGCUGGAGAACUGAGGGGGGCUGCUCCUAGUACGAGAGGACCGGAGUGGACGCAUCACUGGUGUUCGGGUUGUCAUGCCAAUGGCACUGCCCGGUAGCUAAAUGCGGAAGAGAUAAGUGCUGAAAGCAUCUAAGCACGAAACUUGCCCCGAGAUGAGUUCUCCCUGACUCCUUGAGAGUCCUGAAGGAACGUUGAAGACGACGACG
rnacentral:rRNA from 1 species